rnacentral:rRNA from 1 species
AUGAUGGAAUCCGAUCCAUUAUGGCCUUGUGUUGGUAGUUGCAGUUACACAAUGAUGGAUUGUGUUUACUUUUUUUAUGGAAACAGAGAAGCCGAUUAUUUUGUUUGCAAGACGGUUAUCCUAAAUUCUAAUUUAGACAUUAGUGAUGAUACAACAAUGUUCUCCAUCAAAAUUGUAAUUUUGGUCGAGCUUAGCUUAGGGUGGGACCACCGGAGAUCGUGUGGCGCACGGGAGACAGAAACUCCACCAGCUAUUGUGUUGUGCCCACCGACAACAAUAACAAAGAUACUGAUGUCAUUGCCAGACAUGACUGCCCUGUUUGCAAUCUAUUGGGUAGUCCUAUUUGGUGGAUUGCAUCUAUAG